AUGAACGCUGGCGGCGUGCCUAAUCCAUGCAAGUCGCACGCAUAGCGAAAGGUGCUUGCACCUUUCAAGUGAGUGGCGAACGGGUGAGUAACACGUGGACAACCUGCCUCAAGGCUGGGGAUAACAUUUGGAAACAGAUGCUAAUACCGAAUAAAACUUAGUGUCGCAUGACACAAAGUUAAAAGGCGCUUCGGCGUCACCUAGAGAUGGAUCCGCGGUGCAUUAGUUAGUUGGUGGGGUAAAGGCCUACCAAGACAAUGAUGCAUAGCCGAGUUGAGAGACUGAUCGGCCACAUUGGGACUGAGACACGGCCCAAACUCCUACGGGAGGCUGCAGUAGGGAAUCUUCCACAAUGGGCGAAAGCCUGAUGGAGCAACGCCGCGUGUGUGAUGAAGGCUUUCGGGUCGUAAAGCACUGUUGUAUGGGAAGAACAGCUAGAAUAGGAAAUGAUUUUAGUUUGACGGUACCAUACCAGAAAGGGACGGCUAAAUACGUG
rnacentral:rRNA from 1 species